GUAGUCCACGCCGUAAACGAUGUACACUAGACUGGUGCGGUUUUGACGCCGUAUCAGUCGCAGUAAAAACGAUAAGUGUACCGCCUGGGGAGUACGGUCGCAAGGCUAAAACUCAAAUGAAUUGACGGGGGCUCACACAAGCGGUGGAGCAUGUUGCUUAAUUCGAGGCAACGCGAAGAACCUUACCUGGGCUUGACAUGUACGUAUUAACCCUAUGAAAGUAGGGCCACAGUCGCAAGACCGGAACGUGCACAGGUGCUGCAUGGCUGUCGUCAGCUCGUGCUGUGAAGUGUCGGGUUAAGUCCCUUAACGAGCGCAACCCCUGUCGUUAGUUGCUCACGCGUCAUGGCGAGUACUCUAGCGAGACUGCCGGUGUCAAACCGGA
rnacentral:rRNA from 1 species